GGAUAACCUGCCCUAAGGAAGGGGAUACCCCCGGGAAACUGGGGAUAAUACCCUAUAGGUUACAGAUGCUGGAAUGCUCUGUACCCGAAAGUUCCGGCGCCUUAGGAUGGAUCUGCGGCCGAUUAGGUUGUUGUCGGGGUAACGGCCCAACAAGCCAGUAAUCGGUACGGGUUGUGGGAGCAAGAGCCCGGAGUUGGAUUCUGAGACACGAAUCCAGGCCCUACGGGGCGCAGCAGGCGCGAAAACUUUACAAUGCGGGCAACCGUGAUAAGGGAACCUCGAGUGCCUGUAUAUGCAGGCUGUCUGGGUGUCUAAAACACACCUAAAGAAAGGGCCGGGCAAGACCGGUGCCAGCCGCCGCGGUAAUACCGGCGGCUCGAGUGGUGGCCACUUUUAUUGGGCUUAAAGCGUUCGUAGCUGGGUUAUUAAGUCCCUUGGGAAAUCCGACGGCUUAACCGUCGGGCGUCUAAGGGAUACUGGCAAUCUUGGAACCGGGAGAGGUGAGGGGUACUUCGGGGGUAGGAGUGAAAUCCUGUAAUCCUCGAGGGACCACCUGUGGCGAAGGCGCCUCACCAGAACGGCUUCGACAGUGAGGGACGAAAGCUGGGGGAGCAAACCGGAUUAGAUACCCGGGUAGUCCCAGCCGUAAACGAUGUGCGUUAGGUGUAUCGGUGACCACGAGUCACCGAGGUGCCGAAAGGGAAACCGUGAAACGUACCGCCUGGGAAGUACGGUCGCAAGGCUGAAACUUAA
rnacentral:rRNA from 1 species